AGAGUUUGAUCAUGGCUCAGGAUGAACGCUAGCGGCAGGCUUAACACAUGCAAGUCGAGGGGUAGAGGAAGCUUGCUUCCUUGAGACCGGCGCACGGGUGCGUAACGCGUAUGCAAUCUACCUUAUACAGGGGGAUAGCCCAGAGAAAUUUGGAUUAAUACCCCAUAGUAUAAUUGAAUGGCAUCAUUUAAUUAUUAAAGUUCCAACGGUAUAAGAUGAGCAUGCGUCCCAUUAGCUAGUUGGUGUGGUAACGGCACACCAAGGCGACGAUGGUAGGGGUCCUGAGAGGGAGAUCCCCCACACUGGUACUGAGACACGGACCAGACUCCUACGGGAGGCAGCAGUGAGGAAUAUUGGUCAAUGGGCGCAAGCCUGAACCAGCCAUGCCGCGUGCAGGAUGACGGUCCUAUGGAUUGUAAACUGCUUUGUACAGGAAGAAACACUCCCUCGUGAGGGAGCUUGACGGUACUGUAAGAAUAAGGAUCGGCUAACUCCGUG
rnacentral:rRNA from 1 species